GCGUCGUUGGCAGAACGGUUAUGCACCGGACUCUUAAUCCGAUUUACCUGGGUUCGACCCCCAGGCGGCGCACCA
rnacentral:tRNA from 1 species